AACGAACGCUGGCGGCAGGCUUAACACAUGCAAGUCGAACGCAUCCUUCGGGGUGAGUGGCAGACGGGUGAGUAACGCGUGGGAACGUGCCCUUCAGUUCGGAAUAACCCAGGGAAACUUGGGCUAAUACCGGAUACGUGCGAGAGCAGAAAGAUUUAUCGCUGAAGGAUCGGCCCGCGUCUGAUUAGCUAGUUGGUGGGGUAAUGGCCCACCAAGGCGACGAUCAGUAGCUGGUCUGAGAGGCUGAUCAGCCACAUUGGGACUGAGACACGGCCCAAACUCCUACGGGAGGCAGCAGUAGGGAAUAUUGGACAAUGGGCGCAAGCCUGAUCCAGCCAUGCCGCGUGAGUGAUGACGGCCUUAGGGUUGUAAAGCUCUUUCGUCCGGGACGAUAAUGACGGUACCGGAAGAAGAAGCCCCGGCUAACUUCGUGCCAGCCGCCGCAGUAA
rnacentral:rRNA from 1 species